UCAAAGGCAAUUGAAAAUGACAAAUAACCUUUAGCAGCAGAAAACGGAGGGAGGAAGUUGAGAGAGCGGAGGGAAAACAUAAGAAGCAAGGCCAACUGCGAUCACUCGUUUGGGUCUGUGAGCAAGUGUGUCUGCCUGCCAGGCCCAGUGAAGCCAACAGCUACAUGACUCCAGGGGCCCACAGCUGGCCCUCACAGUGACCUCAGCCUACAGGGCGAAUGGGUUGUUCCUGGACUGAGGCCGGCCCAGGGAGCCUGAUCCCAGCUCUUCUGUUCUGACGGAGAGAGGAGAUGGUGAGGAUCCAGAGUCAGGGCAGCUCUCCCAGCCAGACACAGAGCUGGGUUAUUGGGGUGAGUGGAGAAAGACAACCCCUCCCUGGAGCGCAGGCCGUGAAUGGCUUCCGGGAUGAUGAAUCCCAUUGCCAGCUGCUAAAGCCUAUAGAUCUGGCAGGCCCUGCAUGAGGCCUAAAGCCAGAGACAAUCCCCCUUCCUCUGUCUUUCCCACACACACACUGCACAUACUGUUUGCUCAAAUACUGAGCUUCCCGCAAAAAUCUGCUUGUGUGCCCGCGAGGAAUUGGAAAAUAAAAAGCGAGGAGAACUGAGAAUCUGAAA